rnacentral:rRNA from 1 species
AUGGUUUUAAAGGUUCUAAAAUUAUUUCUUUUAUGCCAGGUGCCAUGCUGUGGAGAACAUCUGGCCGCCAUUUACACUUCAUUACCUCCAUGUUUCGAUCUGGUGCCUCCACUCCUCAGCACCUCUUUAUCUGUCGUGGCAGCAGCAAUGGAGGUCUCCAAGGCUCCUUCCUCUUCUGAGAUUCUUGAGACAUGGCACAGUGCCAAUGCGGUGUGCUUCGAUGUGGAUAGCACUGUAUGCUUGUAUGAGGGUAGUGAUGAGCUUGCUGAUUUAUGUGGGGCUGGCAGGCGGUUGCCGAGUGGACGACAAAGUAAUUGUCAUAGUUUCUGGACUAUGGCGAUGAUAGGGACCGUUCCAUUUGAAGAGGCUCUUGCUGCCUGGAUCUCUUUAAGCAAGCCAUCUCUGUCCCAAGUUGAGGACCCCAAUAAUACUGAAGUAUUCCUUGUGUCCGGAGGUUCCCGGCAAAUGAUCAAGAUAUUUGGUGCUAAACCUAUCGCGAAAUAUGCUUUCUAUGUUCAUAUAUUGUUAAGUGGCUUAUUGUGUGCAUACAAAUGUUUUGACCGGCACCCUCGCGCCAAGGCGCGAUCCCGAUCUAAGUCAAUUUUUGACCACCGUCUUUUGGCUCUUGCUUUCAACAUAUGCAGUAUUGACUUCUUGAGCCAUUCUCUAUUUACUUUCGAUACAUUUUUCAAAAUAAACAACCAAUGUUUCCUCCAUAUAUGA